rnacentral:misc_RNA from 1 species
CACAAAACAAUUGUUUUUCCCCAACUAAAUGAAUCACCAGACAAAAUUUCAUUGUUUUCAUUAGAGAAUCGGCUGCCCAGCUAGGUUAAUUAACUCGCUAAAAUGUUCUCCAGCGGCCCCAACUACAAUAAACUGAAGACAAAUCUUCGAUUGUCUCUGAAUCGCCUAAAAUUGCUCGAAAAGAAGAAGGCGGAGCUGACGCAGAAGUCCCGGAAAGAAAUCGCAGAUUAUCUGUCUGCGGGAAAAAUCGAAAGAGCAAGAAUCCGAGUGGAACACAUUAUCAGGGAGGACUACUUGGUGGAGGCCAUGGAAAUGGUGGAGAUGUACUGCGACUUGUUGCUGGCCAGAUUCGGGCUCAUCACCCAAAUGAAGGAACUGGACGUAGGCAUAGCGGAGCCCGUGGCCAGUCUGGUGUGGGUCUGUCCUCGACUGCAGAGCGAUAUAGCGGAGCUGAAGAUCAUCUCUGACAUUUUUGUGGCCAAGUACGGACCGCAGUUCGGAGAGAACAAUCGCAACGCUACUGGAGAGCAUCAUGUGUCCGAGAAGCUGAUGCACAAGCUAACGCUGCAGGCGCCACCGAAGCUGCUGGUGGAGAACUACCUUAUUGCCAUUGCCAAGAACUACAACAUCGAGUACGAGCCCGAUCCACAGGUGAUGCAGGAGGAAGAUCCCAAUCUGCCGCACUUGAUCGAUCUGUCGGAUAGGAACAACCUCAGUGGAGGAGGAGGAGGUGGGGCCGCCCCGCCCCAAAUGGGCUUUAUCGGUUAUCCGUCGGUGCCCCCACUGCCCAGCAUGCCGAUACCACCAACCAAUAAGCCCUUCAAUUACCCAUCAUUCGGUGGGGGUGCUGGAGGUGGAGGUGGUGCCGCUUGCGCUGCACCACCACAAGCGCCGCCACCAUUUGCCUACAAUAUUCCGCCCAACCAGCCGCCGAAUCUAAACGUGCUACCGGCGAAAUGUGCCGAGGAAAAGGAUCUGAACACCAACUUUAUCAAUCACGAAUUGAACAUUACGGAUGGCUCCGGCAGCCCGGAUGAGAACAUAUUGUCAUCCAAGUGAUUCAUAGUUAGCUGCCCACUCCUCCGCAUUCCUGUUAUCAUUGUGAACUUGUUGAUCGCCCCAAACCCGAAAAUGAUCCGCCGCCGCGUUACACCUCGAUUAAUCCCGCAAAUCUGCAG